UACGUAGGGGGCAAGCGUUGUCCGGAAUCACUGGGCGUAAAGGGUUCGUAGGCGGCCUGCUAAGUCCUUCGUGAAAGCCCCAGGCUCAACUUGGGGACUGCGCGGGAUACUGACAGGCUUGAGGGUAGGAGAGGCAAGCGGAACGUUGCAAGUAGCGGUGAAAUGCAUUGAUAUGCAACGGAACACCAAUGGCGAAGGCAGCUUGCUGGACUACUCCUGACGCUGAGGGACGAAAGCCAGGGUAGCGAACGGG
rnacentral:rRNA from 1 species